CCAAUGUUAUCGUUCAUGUGAGAGAGGGUGUAGUAGUGCAUACUGACCACUAGUUGGAUCAUAGCGUGGUUGGUGGCGUUCAURCAGGAACCCAGAGGGUAUAAUAAUGUUUACAUCACUGUUUAGAGGACAAUUUGUAAGAGACAGCUAGCUAGKCCUACGUUUUGAAUUGUUGCAUUAUGUUUUAAGUGGGUCGCCACGCGGAAUCAUUAUACAAGCACCACYAGGCAAAUUCAGGCUCAUGUUUGAGUGGCAGACAUGACCCUUGUUCUUACCAGAUGCUGUUGAGGAUGAAGAAGAGCUGGAUGAAGAUGGACCAAGGGGCAGGAUACCCCCCCCCCCCCCAUGACGAUUCCGGGCAUGGGCUUGGUGAAGAAGGAAUGUUUAUGGAUCCGCUGAGUGAUAUGUAGGUGAGACUCACUCCUCUUGAAGCCGAAGUAGGCUAGCCGCCCAUGAAGGUAAAGGKCUCGGAGAUGCCAAACCACAAAGCCAAGAUGGCCACCACCGUGCAGAAGGGGAUGGCUGCCAAGAAACCAUCCACCCACAGGAUCAGGUUAACCAGGAAGAAGUCUGCAAACAAGAUCCUAAGAGGGAGGGAGAAAAAAUGGGUAGGGGAGGCGUGGGACAGUGAAUAUCUCUGGAAAAAUUGGCAACAGCAUCACCCUAAUAAAAKCUAGACAUGUUUAAAUAUUUUUCAGUCAAGUAUGUUGCCAUGAUGUGUAGAAUCUKUUAUUGA